CAGACCCGGAAGUUCGUCACAACUCUCUGCUAGGUGGCCCGAUGGGUCUCUGAGGAGCCGAGACGCCGGAGGAGUUACAGGAGGUUGGGACCGCGUCUCUCUUGAUUACCACCAUCUCCAGCAUCGAGCACAGAACAGCAUGUAAUGGGAGCUGAAUGAAUGAAUGACUGGAAAGCAUCAGGAUGGUCCUCUAAUGCCUCUGGGAACCAGGCUGGGGCAUCACCAGGAAGGAGGACUCAAAUGCCUUCGCCAGGGAGCAGUACCUUUCACUGCGUGGCAACAGAGAAGCUUGUGGCAGAGUAAAGAGAGCCAGGCCUCUGCAAUGGGCAGCCUGUGGGACUCUCAGCAAUCACCCGGCCAUGGGUAAUUACCUACCCUCGCUGCACUUCCGUUUCCUCACCUGCCGACCGGGACCCCCGUCUCCACAAGAGAGGGCUGCAGAGCCCAGAGAGGGGAGGAUCCGACUCUUUGAUCUCUGCUGGAUCUCCGGCACCCGGCACAGUGCCUGGCUGGGUGUAGAUAGUAGUUUUUGAAUGAACAAGUGCAGAGUGUGUCCAGGGAUUAACAUUGUGAAAAUGGGCCUGGUCCAUUGUAGGUGUUUGAUAAAGAAUUCAGAUGUGGUAUUUGAUGAUGUCUUGUCUAUUGAACGACCGCAGGACUGCCUGGCACGUUGCAGCAAACGACCAUCAACUUGAGGGCCGCCGUGCCUCCACCAAAGUGCCAAUAUUUCCGUGGAAAAUCCCGGGAGACUUCAAAUGCAGGAUUCUUGUAACAAGACCAGAGCUGGAAGAUUUCCUGAAGUGGGGGAAAGAAAAGCGCUCCCUGCCUGGCUGGAAUUGCUGUGUGUAUGAUGCCCUGCAGAGAGAGAGAAGAGAGCAGGCUGGAUGCCUUCCAAAAAUCAGAAGGGAAGCUGAUUCCUACUUGGGAGGGUGUUAAAAUCUUAAGGGCAAGGCCAACAGACCGAGGGGAGAAAGUGAAGGAGAGAGAGAAAUGUGUGAGCAUCUUUUCCAUUUUUUUUUUUUUUCUGUUUUCUUACAGCCAAAUGCCUGGAAACCUGCGGCAUCCGGCAAUUCCCUGGCCGCGGCGUAUAGUAAGCACUCAGGAAAUAGUUGAGCCACUUGGAGCUUUAUGAUGUUUUAGGACUCCUCAAGUGCAUGCGUUUAUGACAGAAUAGUUCCUGUAAGGAGAAUGUCGGUGCUCCUACCCGAGGUCUUGCAUGAGGGCGCGUCACGAGGGGGAGGACGUUUGUCUGCUCUGCUCACCAUUGCAGCCCAGCACGGGGCACAGCGCCUGGCACAGAGAAGUGCCGGACAGCGACUGUGGAUAAUGGGGGCCGCGCCAUGUGGCACGAACCUCGUGGCGAGAUGACCGUGGAGCCGAGGCUUCUGGUUCCAGAAUAUCAAGCCGGCGCAGAGAUCUCUGGGACCCUAAUGAAGCAGGCAGAUGGUGAAAUCCUGCACAUUCAUACCCGGGGCCUACCGUGUGCCAGACCCUGCCCAGGUACUGGGUACCCGGCCAGUGGCCAAAGCAGGAAUGUUCUGCCCUCAUGGAGCUUCCCGAUCCACGGAGGACGUUGAGAGUGAGCAAAGCAGAGCUGAUAAUCACAGCUGGGAUAGUGCCACAGAGGAAGUGGUCAAGCGCGUGGCUUUGCCAGAGAGGAGCUCCUGUCGGAAGAGGAAAUACCACCCUGCCCGUGCUUUCGUUCCAGCCCAUUCUCACUCUGUCUGGGAAAAUCACAAGGAAACUCCACGUUUUGCUCCUGGAAUUCUUGCCAGCGUGAUUCAAGCCGAAUGGAGCACAUGGCACCGAGUUCCCACACAAACAAAGACGUUGCCACUUUCAGCGCGGUGGCUUUCUUCCUUCUGCCGGCCCGGGCCCCCCGUCUUGCCCAGGCAAGAGGGGCAGAGUGCAUGCGGCCCGGUUCUCACCUACAAGGCCCCCCAUGUGUUCUCAUCUGGAAAAUGGAGAUGGUCACAGCACAAGAUGAUUAGAGGAUUAAGGGAGAUACAGUGAAAGUGCCGUGCAGCGCUCGGUAGACAGUGGGCACUCAAUAACUGCUGGCCACGAUGCUGAUGCCCUGUGUCGGUGUUAGCACAUGUUCUCGGAGCUCAGGCCUUCGCGGGGCCGUGCGUUCCUCGGCUAUAAGCCCCGUGACCGUGAAAUCAAUCACUUUCGUGCUCGGCGCUCCCAGGCGCUGCGUGUGAGAGCAGGAUUGCGUGGAGGCUCCCGUCCAAAUCCAGUGUCGAGAAAUGGAACAGGGAGCUGGGCGGACACAUCGAUUAGGCACAUUCCUGGCUCGAGUGUGGCUCUCUCCAGUCCCCUCCCUGCAGGCUGGCGAGCAAAAUUCAGGUGCUGACCUCCUGAGAAUACCCCUUAGGCUGAAACCUAUCACCCCCUUUGUCAGAGAUUAUGUGAUCUCCAGGGAAGAAGAGGUGUGGCAUCUCACCUCUGCCACUUCUGAACUGAGCGACUUGGUACAGAGGACUCUCCCGUGCCUAUGAUGCCUUCGUCUACGAAUGGGGUUGAUAACUGCCCUCCACGAAGGAUGUCAGCGGGGCUCGGCACCGACUCGAGUGUCAGGGGCUUGGCCGCGGUCUGUGCUUAAGAGCAGCUGCCCCUUCACCAGUGAUGCUGCUGUCCCCAAAUCUCUAAAUUUUAACUAGGGUCCCCCUUGUGAAGGCCUGGGUUAUCCCCACUGGAAACCUGUUUUGGGAACUAGCCCCCCUGCAUGUCACCGAGGGAAAUGGGCGUCAAAACUGAUGGCCCCUAGGUGGGGGGAGACCUGGCCCAGACCUUGUCACAGGAUGAGCACCUCUGGGAUGAGAGGCCAAGUGGCCUAAUGGGCCGGAGACUCAGACUGGCUGGAUUUGAGCAGUGUUUCCACGCUCACUCCCAGUGGGGCCUUGACAAGUUCCUUAACUGUUCUGAGCCUCGGUUUCUUCACCUGAAAAAUGGGUGUGAUGAUAUCCCUCUUUGUGAGACCAGAGAAUUAAUGGCAGCUUAUUAAUUAUAUUCUAAGGCACUAUUCUAAGCCGCCCUGUGAUGUCAUCACAUCUAUAAAUAGCCUCACCUGACAGUUGGAGAAACUGAGGCACAGAGCGGUCACUAACUUGCUCAGGGCCACUCGUUCAUCCCAUUUCCUGGCGCGGUCCCUGCUCCUUCCUCUACUCUCCUCACAUUUCCCCAAACUCGCCGGGCGAACCCACGCCUCUUGGCCUCUGUGUUCCUUCUGCCUGCAGUGACUGUUUCCCCACCUCUGCCUGACUCAGUCUGGUGUGUCCUUCAAGGCCCAGCUCAAGUGUCUCCUCCUCCAGGAAGCCCUCCUGCCAGGGCACUAGAGACUCGGCUUCCUAAAGCAGUUCAUCUACGCGGCUACUUGUCAAGAUCUUCAAGGGUAAUGUUAACUACGACCACCAAGUGGCAAAGCCCGCCCAGUGCCUGCCUGGUGCCGGGCACUGUUCUAAGCGGUUCAGGCGCACGGACGUCUCAGAUCUCUGCACAAUCAGGAGGAAGAUGAUACUACUGCUCGCUGCUUCCGGGGCCUUUGCUACCUCUGCUGAGUUCCCGGCCCUCUCUUCUUCCUCGCCCCUGGCUCCCCCUGCCCACUCCACAAAUUGUCCUGGCUACGCGGGGGCACGUGGCUUCCUCGGUAUAAGCCAGAGCUCCAUGGGGAUCAAGCUCCCUGCCUCCCCACCCACCCCGUGACAUCGGCCUGCCUCGGGUCCUUACCCCCCCCCCCACGCACCCUCUGAGGCCUGGCUGGAGUCUCGACUCUGCCAGAAAGUUCUGUCUGAACUCUCGUGGCACUCGGAGUCCAAACCACCUGCUUUACUCUGUGGCGGACCAAUGGUCGCCAGCAUGCGUGUGCGUGUGCACGUAUGAGCACGUGUGUGUCCAUGAGUGUGCGUGUGCGUGCACGCUCCUGUGAUCACGUUCUUUCCAUACUUAGAUUAUAAACCAUUUGAAUACAGGGAUCAAGUCUCCCUCUGCCUCUCAGCCUCCAUAGAACACUGAUCUAACUAUAAGAUUCUCCUUACACACUUCGUUCAUCCAAAAAAAAAAAUCAAUAAUAAGCCUAUAUUAAACACAGUCCACCGUGUGCCAGGUACUGUGACCAGCACCGGGGUGUUGGCCUAGACUGUGAUUGACUAUCGAUGGGAGGGCAAACGUGGAAAAAGAAUUUAAGGAAAAACCCAAUCGAUCCGGGGCAGUUCAUCAUUUGGCGCUCAAAACUCCACAACCCAACUUUUGACCUAACAUACGAGGUGACGUCAAUUACAAAUAACAUUCACCUUGACAUGUAAAUACAGGUUCUAUAGGCUUAACAUCUUCUGACUAGUGGGUGUGUUUGGAGGGAUCUAUUUUUAAGUUUGUAUCUUCACAACCUGAUAAUCGAAAAGAAUAAUGAUCAUAGUGGCCAAAUUAUUGAGCUUUUAAAAUAGGCUCUACCUACAACGAGCUCAGGGUCCGGAACACUCUCAGGGUAGGCCCUCUCAUACCGACUUCUCUGAAGGAGAAACAGAGGCUCAAAGUUUAAGUCAGCUGUGAAAAGGGCAGGCCGGGCGGCCGGAAUCGCCAGCCGGGUCCGAAAAGUGUCUGUUCUUUACAGGUUUCUAUGUCUAUGCUUCUGACGUUCUCAAAUUAUAGAGAAAGAAAGAAAUGUUUUGACCUUGUGCUAAUACGUUUUCCGUAAGGUCAGAAAUAAAUAAGUGAAAAUUAAUCUGACAAUCUGUAAGCAGGCUGAAAAAUACCACUUCACUUUCCCCUUG